UUCGGAUCGGAGCCUGCAACCCGGCUCCGUGGAGCUGGAUUCGCUAGUAAUCGCGCAUCAGCCAUGGCGCGGUGAAUACGUUCCCGGGCCUUGUACACACCGCCCGUCAAGCCAUGGGAGCCGGGGGCGCCUGAAGUGCGGUACCGCGAGGGCCGCCCAAGGGCGAGACCGGUGACUGGGGCUAAGUCGUAACAAGGUACC
rnacentral:rRNA from 1 species